AAUAAUUUCCAUUUAAAGUUAUCGGUUUCUAAAAUUAGAAUCCAUUAGAUGUGAACAAAUCUACAACCAUUUGGGGUCUUAUGCAAUGUGUGGGUGACUCUUCAAAAAUAUUCAAUUUGUACUUGAGCUACUUAAAGUUUUCAAGUUGCGACCGAUAAUGAUAAGUAUCGGGAGAUGAAGUCGAGGUCGCGAAAGAAAGAAAAAAAGAGAGAGAGAGAGAGAGGUUCCAAAGCAGAGUGAAGAAAUGAUAUAUAGGAAGGAAGUUUGGUUCGGAGGAAAAGAUAUAAUAUGAAAAGAGAGAAGGGUGUCGGAGAGACAAGCAGACACCAAGCUACAGAAUCGGCACGCGCCCGCCACGCGCCCUUCUUUUAUCCUCCCCCUUUUUUUCCUUUCCGUCUCUCUUUCUCCACAUCCUUAUUCCCUUCCAUGGUUCAUCGCUACUUCCCUUCAACAUUCACCCACACAUUCUGUAUUUCUUCUAUAUACAUAUAUAUAGCUGGAUGCGACUUGCGUGAUUUAUUUUGGAUUUAUCGUAAAAGAGGGAUGAGGAUCCAAUAUAUGAAUGAAUUUGGUCGGUGACUUGCGUUAUUUUUUUCUAUGAAUGGAAACGCACUUUUUUGGAAGUAUAUGGAUAUAUAUAUAUAUAUAUAUAUAUAUAUAUAUAUAUAUAUAUAUAUAUGCGGGUGGAGUGCAUUUAUGAAGGGGAACCGCACACAUUUCUAUAUUUCUUUUCUUCAAGCAACACGAAUGGCCAGCCAGCUGAUCGCUUUUGCUUUUGUAAAGCUCAUCGCCUUCACCCUUACCACCUGCAAACACAAAAAUUUUAAAUCGAUCCACUUAAUCCUUCUAUUAAAUGCUCCUGUAUUCGCAAAUUCGUUAUGCAACAAUGGGAUAAUCGGAGAAAAAUUAACA